ACACACACAGAUACCCACAGAGACACACACAGACACACACGGAGACACACACACAGACACACACAGAGACACACAGAGACAGACAUACCCACAGACUCAUACAGAGACUCACACACAGACAGACAUACACACAGACUCAUACAGAGACACACACACAGACAUACACAGACACACACCCAGACACAGACAGACAGACAGACACAGACAUACGCACAGACACAGAGACACACACACAGACACACAGACACACACAGACAGACAUACACACAGACACACACACACACACUGGUGGGGAAUGGGGUUCCAGUGUCAGCAUCAUCUCAUUGACCUUUGACCACCCUCCUCUUUUUCUCUGUUCCCAGGCCCCUCACCCUGGCCUUGGGCAUCUGCAUUCAGAAAUCGCCAUCCUCCAGAAGUCAGGAUUUCUCCCUGCCAGAGAGUUUAAUCAGCGUGAUCCAGCUGCUGGAGUGGGGAAGAGUCGAGCCGGGGUUUUAAUUAUCCCUGCUUUGCCCGAGUUAGGAAUUCCCGAUGGUGCCGUCUGCGUGAAGAUGCCAAAAACUGCAUUGUUCUUUAAUUAGCUGUUGUAAUUGUUUUAGUCUAAUCUCCGUGAUUAGCAGCAGCAUUAAAUACAGCAGGAAGAAAAGGCCUGUCCUCUACGCACUGCCCCAGUAAACAGAGCCUUUCUCCCUUCUGGAGAGGGAUAUCAGAGAGAAUCAAUUAGAACUCAACCAGGGUUGAUUGGGAAAUGACAAGA
rnacentral:lncRNA from 1 species